GACGAACGCUGGCGGCGUGCUUAACACAUGCGAGUCGAACGGAAAGGCCCUGCUUUUGUGGGGUGCUCGAGUGGCGAACGGGUGAGUAACACGUGAGUAACCUGCCCUUGACUUUGGGAUAACUUCAGGAAACUGGGGCUAAUACCGGAUAGGAGCUCCUGCUGCAUGGUGGGGGUUGGAAAGUUUCGGCGGUUGGGGAUGGACUCGCGGCUUAUCAGCUUGUUGGUGGGGUAGUGGCUUACCAAGGCUUUGACGGGUAGCCGGCCUGAGAGGGUGACCGGCCACAUUGGGACUGAGAUACGGCCCAGACUCCUACGGGAGGCAGCAGUGGGGAAUAUUGCACAAUGGGCGGAAGCCUGAUGCAGCAACGCCGCGUGCGGGAUGACGGCCUUCGGGUUGUAAACCGCUUUCGCCUGUGACGAAGCGUGAGUGACGGUAAUGGGUAAAGAAGCACCGGCCAACUACGUG
rnacentral:rRNA from 1 species